CAGUGGAAGUUUGCAAAGCAGUAUCUUAUUUCUCAGGAACUUUGCAAUCGGUAUAAUACAGUUUGGAAAGAAGAUAGGUGGGUGCUCCUAAACAAAAUCCUGGAAAAGAAGAUGUCAGGCUCGACAAAGCAAGAGCGGCAACUUACAGAUAUUCUAUUGAAAAACUUGGAAGGAUCGGAGCCAGUAAAUGGGAAACUCUUACCAUGUUCAAUCUUAGUACGGUCCAAGGACUACAGUGUAAGGAGACGCCUUGGGAGUGGGAGUCAGUACAAGGAGAUACUAUGGCUGGGUGAAAGCCUUGCCCUGAGACACUUUUUU
rnacentral:lncRNA from 1 species